rnacentral:rRNA from 1 species
AGUGAACGCUGGCGGUAGGCCUAACACAUGCAAGUCGAACGGCAGCACAGUAAGAGCUUGCUCUUACGGGUGGCGAGUGGCGGACGUGUGAGGAAUACAUCGGAAUCUACUUUUUCGUGGGGGAUAACGUAGGGAAACUUACGCUAAUACCGCAUACGACCUACGGGUGAAAGCAGGGGAUCUUCGGACCUUGCGCGAUUGAAUGAGCCGAUGUCGGAUUAGCUAGUUGGCGGGGUAAAGGCCCACCAAGGCGACGAUCCGUAGCUGGUCUGAGAGGAUGAUCAGCAAAACUGGAACUGAGACACGGUCCAGACUCCUACGGGAGGCAGCAGUGGGGAAUAUUGGACAAGGGGCGAAAGCCUGAUCCAGCCAUACCGCGUGGGUGAAGAAGGCCUUCAGGUUGUAAAGCCCUUUUGUUGGGAAAGAAAAGCAGCAGGUUAAUACGGCGCUGUUCUGACGGUACCCAAGGAAUAAGCACCGGCUAACUUCGU